rnacentral:rRNA from 1 species
UACGAAGGGGGCUAGCGUUGCUCGGAAUCACUGGGCGUAAAGGGUGCGUAGGCGGGUCUUUAAGUCAGGGGUGAAAUCCUGGAGCUCAACUCCAGAACUGCCUUUGAUACUGAGGAUCUUGAGUCCGGGAGAGGUGAGUGGAACUGCGAGUGUAGAGGUGAAAUUCGUAGAUAUUAGGAAGAACACCAGUGGCGAAGGCGGCUCACUGGCCCGGUACUGACGCUGAGGCGCGAAAAGCGUGGGGAGCAAACAGG